UCAGUUCGGAUUGGAGGUCUGCAACCCGACUCCAUGAAGCUGGAUUCGCUAGUAAUCGCGCAUCAGCCACGGCGCGGUGAAUACGUUCCCGGGCCUUGUACACACCGCCCGUCAAACCAUGGAAGCCGGGAGUGCCUGAAGUACGCGACCGCAAGGAGCGUCCUAAGGUAAAACCGGUGACUGGGGCUAAGUCGUAACAAGGUAUC
rnacentral:rRNA from 1 species